rnacentral:rRNA from 1 species
CCUACGGGAGGCAGCAGUGAGGAAUAUUGGUCAAUGGACGAGAGUCUGAACCAGCCAAGUAGCGUGAAGGAUGACUGCCCUAUGGGUUGUAAACUUCUUUUAUAUGGGAAUAAAACGUUCCACGUGUGGGAUUUUGUACGUACCAUAUGAAUAAGGAUCGGCUAACUCCGUGCCAGCAGCCGCGGUAAUACGGAGGAUCCGAGCGUUAUCCGGAUUUAUUGGGUUUAAAGGGAGCGUAGGUGGAUUGUUAAGUCAGUUGUGAAAGUUUGCGGCUCAACCGUAAAAUUGCAGUUGAAACUGGCAGUCUUGAGUACAGUAGAGGUGGGCGGAAUUCGUGGUGUAGCGGUGAAAUGCUUAGAUAUCACGAAGAACUCCGAUUGCGAAGGCAGUUCACUGGACUGCAACUGACACUGAGGCUCGAAAGUGUGGGUAUCAAACAGGAUUAGAUACCCGAGUAGUC